AUGACGGAGAGAGCAGAAGGGAGCAGAGAGUCUCUGUAUUCCAUCCAGGAGGAGAAAGAUGAAGUGAUCCACAGGAUAAAAUCCAACUCUGGGAGCAGAAAAAAGUGUCCUGCCCUCUCGCAACUUCCUCACAGUGUUCUCUCUUGGUCCUCACAAAGCUCCUAUUACAUCACCAAUGGUCCCCACCCUUUCUUUCUCACACACCUCUUUCCUCUUUCCAUGCCACCACUGCUGCCCUUGCCUUCCUCCUCUGCUCCAUGGACAUUCCUGGCCAGGUUCAGCCUUGAGAAGGACCUGCUACUUUCAGUGUCUCCUCUGCCAAGACACUUCCCUGAGGUGCACAGCAAGGGCUUCAGGUGGGAAAUGACAGACGCUUUGGACUGCCAGGCCGCAACCCAGAAAAAUACUUUGGCACAGGGAGAUCUAAGCACGUGCAUCAUAGCAGGUAUUUCUCUGGCUGUGAUAGCUUCACUGCCAUUGUUUAUGUGCUGCAUGCUUUGUACAGUGAAUUACUCUAUCGGACUUGAGCCAUGCUGUGGCUAUUCUCAUCCUGAAAGUAACUGAGGUAGGUGAGUGCUAGUUCUGUUUGUGCCACUUGUUUGCACUUCCAACUGCUUUGGGGCCCUGCUUCUAUCCACUGCUGCCCAGCUCUGUCUGUGCUCUGUGAGAUAACACAAGGAGCUGCUCACGGUGCAUACCUGGGCUGGGCUGGGCCACUUUCAUGCCGCCUUCUCCUGCUGUGUGGGAGAGCUUAAGUACGGAAACUGAACACACCAUUUGUGGAAAAUCAACAUGAAAGAUUAAGGAUUAGAAUUUAAGAACUGAAUGGGUGGUCUUAUCCAGACAAUUCCUGCGGACUCUACUGGAAGAAAUACAUGGCUGUAUAAUUAGGAACCAGCACAGUGCUUUGAAUGUCUAGCUGUAGAAGUACUGCCUUAAGCCAAUGAAAUCACGGUCUCUGUUUUCUCCAACUUUAAUUUGUCUAAGGAAUUUUUCUACCUUCUUCAUUAAUGCACUACUUUGGAUUUGUUCUGAUAUGGAACACAUUUACAUUGUUCAAUGUCAGUAACUUGAUUCUUUGUGAUUAAACUAUUAGAAGCUAUUUGGGUGUGAUUACAGCUAUCAUACAAGUAGGUAUAGAUGUUGCACUUUGUUUAGUCCUUGAAAAACCAGUGUUUCAGUAUCUGCUUGCUAGGCAGCGUGAGCUACUUACAUUGAAGUAAAGGUAGAUACUGGAUUAUGGCAGGUGAUUUCUUUGCUACUACUGGGAGUAUCACAAGAGAUGCUUUUGGUUAGUAGUGGUUUGUGACAGCAAUAAGUUUCUCAGGCUUUUCAGCCAAAGUUAAUUCCUACAAAACCGCCUCCCAAGAAAGGGUUUGUAUGAGCAUGCUGAACUGCUUUAAUAGAGUAGGUGGAAAGUGCCAGGGAGAUUAUAGGGAGAUAUUAUUGGCCCAGACUGAAAUUUUGCCAGGCCUCCAGGACAGAAUUAA
rnacentral:lncRNA from 1 species